rnacentral:rRNA from 1 species
UUCAGAGGUCUCGAGCGUUGUUCGGAUUUACUGGGCGUAAAGGGAGCGUAGGCGGCCGGGUGUGUCGAAUGUGAAAGCCCACAACUCAACUGUGGAAUGGCAUUCGAAACUACCUGGCUAGAGUACUGGAGAGGAGAGCGGAAUUCUUGGUGUAGCGGUGAAAUGCGUAGAUAUCAAGAGGAACACCGGUGGCGAAGGCGGCUCUCUGGACAGAUACUGACGCUGAGGCUCUAAAGUUAGGGGAGCAAACAGGAUUAGAUACCCUGGUAGUCCUAACUGUAAACGGUGUACACUUGGUGUGCGAGGAAUUGUCCCUUUGCGCGCCGUAGCUAACGCGUUAAGUGUACCGCCUGGGGAGUACGGUCGCAAGAUUAAA